AUGGAGCUAUCAAACUCGAAGCAAAGUCAUGAAGUUGAAGAUGGAUAUGUCGAACUCGAAGCAAAGUCACAAAGUCGAAGAUGGAGCUUUCGAACUCGAAGCGAAAUCACAAAGUCAAAGAUGGAGCUGUCCAACUCAAAGCGAAGUCACAUAGUCGAAGCAAAAUCAAGAAGUAAUGAAGUCACGAAGUCGAUGAAACAACGAAGUAAUGAAGUCGAAGAAACAACGAAGUAA